rnacentral:lncRNA from 1 species
AUAUCAACAAGGCGUUCGACCUGCUGCACGAAGGCGGCUGCCUGCGGUGCGUGCUGGCCAUGGAGCACUGAGGAUCCUGCUAUGUGUCUCGCCCUGCCUCGAAGCGGAGCAGUUUGUGUCGUGUGAAGUUGUAAUGCAGAUCUAUCCUCCGCCCUGGGACUAUAGAACUCGUUUGGCCUAGAAACUCUUGAACACGAACCGCUGCUAUAAUAAUAUGUUGUGUUGGAUGGUUGCCUCUGGUUGGGGUCAUUACUGCUAGUGUGUUUUACUUGUUGACUCCACAAAUAUGUGCUGCAUGUUGGGGGUUUGGUGCGAUAUAUGCCAAAGGAUGGCUUAUCAUGGUGGGGGCAAGUAGAACGUCGCCGGUGCCUGGAAACAGGAUAAGGCGAAGACAUGCACGCCGGCGAAUCUUACCUAGCUUCGGAGCUCUCCGAGGAGAUAAUACCCCUACUGCUGUUUUGCGGGGUCUUUGCAUGAUCACUAUGACCAAGUGUUUACACGGUUGCUCCUUGAGCUGUUUUUUGGAGGUAGGAGAGGGCAAGGCUAGCUCUCUCCCUUCUAUAUGAUCUGGUCUAGAGCUAAUGGGUUUCAGCCCUUUGCAUGGGUGCCCUGGGGGGUUUAUAUAGGCCUAUCCCCCAGGGGUACAAUAGUAAUUCGGCUGGUCGCGGGCCCAGCCGUCAGUGCCUCUGGCCUCCGUCUUCUCUGUCGACCGCUGGGGCCCGCCGGCUGGUCUGGUACGGAGCCGACAGGCCGUGUUCGUCGCGGACGGGUCUUGCCGGCUGCUGAUUACUGUAGCCGUGUUUCUGAUGACGCAGGCUUGAUCAUGAGGUCGUGGCAACAGCCCCGCCGCCUGGCGGGCGAUCACUGUUGCCACUCCUCAUCACAUCUUGAUUAAUGGCGCGUGGGCCCCGGGGGAGGGCUCGGCCGACCUCCCUGGACCGACUCCCGACGGGUCCGACUGGUGGUUCUCCUGCCGUCCCCGAUGUCUCACUGACUGGUGGGGCUUGCUACCUCUAGGCCAUACAGACAAGCCGUCGUGGGUGCAUGAUUCGGCCCUGUGGUGCUGAUGUCAGGGCCGGCAUGUCAACAGUGCCACGCCGCACGGAGAUCUUCCCGGGUACGGCGUGCUGUGGCCAUGCCUGUCCUUGGUAAGGGGCGGGGGUGGGCUUCGCUGUAGCCACGCCCAUGCCCCGUCCCCUUUGAUGAAGUCAUGGGGUUUGUUGGAGUCGCAGGCCGACUCCCCGAAGCCGGCUUCUCUGGAAGUCGGCUCUCCUUGAAGUCGUCCCUGGGACUCGGCCGUGAGUGGUCAGUCGGCCAUCUUGCCGUUGACUUCUUGAAGGCGGUUCCUCGUCCUGGGGUCUUGAGGGGCGCAGCCUCCCCCAAUGUCUUGAAAGGUUCUGGGGCUCGGGUUGGCCUACCCGUGGCCCAGUACUCCGCGGACGAUCGGCCGAGAAGCCUCAGCAGUUUCUCUUUCCGGGUGCUCAACACAUGGUCUUUGAUGGACUUCUGCCGGCCGACUAGAAGGAGUCGGACUCGCUCGAUUCGGACUCACUCAAUUCCGGCUCGCUCAGUAUUUCGAACGUCGCGGCGGGAUUUAAGUGGCGUGCUAGCUAAGCCUCCAGGCCGCCGCCCGUUCUAGGCCUGUCACGCGAUGGCACGUGGCUGGGCCGUCCUACCAGCCUACGCGCGUGACGGGACAGGCCCAUAGGCGGGGCCCGCCACUACCGCGCCUCGGCGCCCGAGCGGAUCCGCUGCGGCCCCGGUGGACGGUUGGGAUUCCCGUGGAGUUACUGCGCGCAGUAACUUUAUCGUGGAACGUGGGGGACGUGGGGCCAUGGGCGCAGUAAAUCCCCACGUCCGCCCCUCGGCUUCGCAGCCCACGAGGCUAUAAGUAGGGGGAAGAGGGGGGCACGCGCGCCCCUCCUUCCCACUACUCCUCGCUCUCUUCCUUCCUCUUCUCCUCGCUCUCCUCCUUCUUCUUCUUCGCUUCGCCGCGCGCCCAAGCUCCGGCGAACGCCGCGGUGACAGCUCGUGAUGAGUUCUUCCUCCGCCGCCGUGCCUCCCCCGGUGCACUCCGGCACCUAGGACGGCUCCGAAGUUCAUGAAGACCACAUCGAGUUCCUCCACCGGACUCGUCGGCUCCCCAGCAAGGACCGCGUGCAGGUGCGUCUUGCGCCGAACGGGAGAUUUCUCCCGCGCCGCAGGAGGGCGAGCGGGUUAUCUUCCGCUCGCACUGCCUGCGCGGGCUAGGGCUGCCGGCGAGCAGUUUCUUCCGAUCCUUCCUGGAGUUCUACGGCCUCCAGUCGCACCACCUCACCCCCAACGCAGUGGUGCUGCUGUCCGCCUUCGUGGCCAUGUGCGAAGGCUUCCUCGGAGUCCUCCCCACCCUCGAGCUCUGGGGGGAGUUCUUCUUCUCCAAGCUCGGCACCCAGGCUGCGAGCGUGCCGGCUCAAUGCGGCGCCUUCAUCGUCGUGCGAAGGUCGGGGGCCGACAAUCCCUUCCCCUCCAUCUCGCUGAUAAAGUUGGUGAAGAUGUGGCAGAGAUCCUACUUCUACGUCAGGAACGCCUCCGCGAGGGGGGACUGGGUCAACCUGCCGGUUUUCGAAGCCGGCCCGCCGGCUGGGCGACUGCCCAACUGGUCGUACCGGGCCAAGUCGCUGACGCCUGCGGGAGCCGACGCCAUCACGCGACUCCGAGUGCUGACGCGGUCGGAGGGUCUGACCGGUCCGGACCUGCUGGCCAUCUUCGUGGCGCGCCGAGUUCUCCCACUCCAAGGCCGCCCCCAUAUGAUAUGCCAGAUGAGCGGGCACCGCGACCCGAGUCGGAUGUGCACCAAGGACAUGACUCACGAAGAGGUGGCCUUCAUGGUGAACUACCUCUCGGACAGCAGGCUCCUGGAGGAUUGGCGGUUCGGCAAGGAGCCGUACUCCCGCGCCAACCCCCCGCCCGUGGUGAGUCGCCUUUCCUUUCUUUCUUUGGAUUGUCUUCUUUCUUGCCGAGUUUUGUUUUGACCAGUCGGCUUUGGUUAGAAUCCCCUCCUCCACCCGCCAGCCGACACCUCGGGGCCGGCUCGCAAGUUCCUCGCCGACCGGGCGAAGAUCGACGUCGACGACCCCGAUCUGGGGGUGGCGGCUCUGGAAGACGACGCCAAGGGAGGAGGAGGAACAGCAGGCGACUUCAGGCCUUCGUCCACUUUCGCCGACUGGCCUGACGACGAUGCCGAGGGAGAAGUCGCCCCUCGCCAUCGGCCAGGAGCCAGCCAGCCUGGCGCGGGCUCUUCUACCGCGCCGGGCGCUCCAGGCGGCGGGAAGAAGCGCAGGGCCGUGCCGACCUUGUUCGGCAGUCGGCCGAAGAAGCCCAAGGGUUCGGCUGCGGCGACCCGGCCGCGAAGGCCAUCCGCUUCCGUAAGGAAGUGAAGAAGCCGCCAUUGGUCUCCGCGUAAGUAUUCUGUCUUAACACUUUGUUCUUUCUUUGUGACUUUGUCCGAGUCUCUGCUUGCCCCUCUUGCUUCAGGCUCCCCUCUCUCUUGAGAGGGUCACCACCGCCUCCGUUAUGGGGUCAGCGGAGACGUCCGCCACCACUUGGUGGAUUGACCCCGCUGCUGACCUCCGGGAGGCGACGGAGCGGAAUGCGCAGGAGAAGCGCAACGAAGAAGAGGCCCUCCGCCUGAAGAAGGCGGAGGCCGACAGGGCGGAGGCCUCCGCCAAGAAAAAACUGGCGGAGGCCGAAGCCGCCGCCGCGACGAAGCGAAAGGCUGAGGAAGCCGCGUGCCGCCAGUCGGCGGUGUUCGUCACCCCGCUGAACUCUGCACCGCCGCCUCCGGAGUUCACGGGGCAGACUGGGGAGGCCGGCGGGGAGAACCCCGUCGUGGAGAAGGAAGGCGGCGACCCCUCCACGCCGGACGUGAACGUUCCGCCGCCGCCUCCGCCGCCGUCUGAAGGUGCGCAAGGCAGGCAGCCAGCGGACCCUCCGGUGCCGCCGACCGAAGACGAGGCCGUGGCGAGGCUACUCCUCCAAGUCGGCUCGCCAACGCGCCGCCGUUUGGAGAAGGCGACUUCGACACCCCGCCCCCUGGAAGCCGGCACCGCCAGCUCGGCGAUCCCAGAUGCCAAAGCGACGAGCGUUGCGCCCAUUGGAUGGGUGCGAGGAGGCGACACAGGGCCGCUGAACCAGGCGCUUCUGGACAUCCAGGCGAAGCUUCGUGCCGAGGGCGACGCUCUUCAGAAUUGCACCAAGGCGUACUUGCCGUCACGGGCAGCCGUCCGGGUAUGUUUUUCUCCUUUGGCCUUUGUUUUCUUGUUCCUCUCUGGCGGGGCGCGCCAGCGCACCCAUUGGGUGUAGUCUCCGAGUUUCGGGCGGGCUGCUGAGCAGGCGGCCCGGAACUCCAAUUGAUGAACUCUCGGUAUUGACUUUUUGUGUGAAAUGCUUGUCACAGGAUUACCACAACCUCCGUGUCACUGCCUUCAACCGUAACGUUGAAGAGCUGGGAAAGCGGACCGCCGAUUUGUCGGAGAGCCGGAGUAAGUCUUUUUCCUUCUUCGCGGGGGCGCGCUGGCGCACCCGCGGGCUGUAGUCCACGAGAUUCGGGCCGACUGCUGAGCAGUCGGGCCGGAUCUCCCUGGCGACCUUCUUUACUGAUGACUUGACGCCUUCUUUCUUUCUUCUUCUUAGGGGCCAACGCUGCUCUUCAGCAGCAGCUGAGCGACACCAACUCCACUUUGCGCGCCAAAGAGGAGGAGUGCAGCAAGCUCGCCAUGGAGCGCGAUCUGCUGGCCACUCAAUUGGCAUAGCAGAAGGAGCUGCUUCUGAAGACGCAGAGGGAGGCGGAGGACACGGAGACCGCCCUCCUGGCCGAAUUCGCGAGCGAGCGCUCCUCCUGGUCCGACAAGGAGGCGCUCCUGGCCUCCGGCUUCCACGAGAUUGAAGACAUCGUUGAUGGUGAGUUUGUUUACUUUCUUUCUUCGGGCUUCCGAUUUAAGUCGUGCCGACUCCCAGUUUUUGACUUGCUUCUUUGUUUCUUCCUGUCUUUGCAGACUUCUUUCCUGGGCAGUCGCAGGCCGCCAUCUAAGCCAUCGAGGCUGACCAUGAAGGUCGGAGGUCGGACGUCGCAGAGAUUGCCGCCGACGCCCCCCGAACUCUUGACGAGCACAUCCUGAGCAUCGAGGCUCGCCCUCGGCCGGCUCAUCGGAUGCUGCACCGGCUUCAGCAUGUCGGUGCCCAGGCGAUUGCCGCCCUGUGGCCGGAUAUGCAGGCUCCGCGCACCCCCAGCCUGACGGCCGACUGGCUGGAGGUCGCGGCUGGUCGUCUUGAGGCCUGGAAGGGCUCUUCGGCCCGAGCUGGAGUGCGCCGGGCCUUGGAGUUCGUCAAGGCAUGGUAUCCGGGGUUGGACCUAGACCGGCUGGCCAUGCUUCGGUCGGGAGCCCAGCUGGAGCUGGCAGCCGCGAAAGAUGCCCUCGUCAAGCGUGCUACGGCGAUCGCUGAGUACACCGACACCAGCAUCUUCGUCCCCGAGCGGUCUGAAGACGGCGAGGAGGUACCGCCGGAGUGGUUUGGGAUGAACCCAGACUACGGCGAGGACUCGGCAGAGGUGAUUGGCUCCAGCGUCGAGGAAGAGGGCGAGGCGGAGGACGGAGGCGAGGCGGAGGCACCAGAAGACGGAGCAGACGGCCAGCCUUAGCUCGAUCGUGCCUCCAGCAACGAGCCGCGUGCGACCGACCCGACUGCCGCCGGAGGCGAUCAAGCCGAGACUAGCCAGCCGGCUGCCCCGACGCCUGGCGCUGGCGCCUCCUCCAACCCUCCGAAUCCGUCUGCUGCUUCCUAAGCUACCGCUGUAUCUUUGUUUUGUCUGCUUCAGUAGUCUUUGAAGAACUCGUUAAUUCGCACAAUUCCACCCGCGGGGUGUAUUUUGAACCUCUGCUCGAAAUUUCGGCCAAGGGCCUAUGUUAUGUAAAUAUAUUUAUCCGAGUUCUAUCUUUUUCGUGCUCAUUGCUCUUUUGGCUUUUUUCCUUUGCCGCUUUCUCUUAGUUGCCUUCCUUGUCAAUCGGACAGCCGCUCUGCGGACUGUUGCUGGAUCAAGUGCUUGGCUACUUUGGGAAAGCAAGUACUUAGCCGUUUUCAAGAGUUUUUUGAGCAAGUUGGAUAGAAGACGGCAAUCCGACUAUUCGAGAGUCGGUUUUGCGAAAAAGGCUAGAAGCUAUCUUGAGCUAUGUUUUAUGCUUUAAGUCCUUAGCCAUUUUUCAUGCGAAUGCCCAUUCUACCUUACUGCUGCCCACCGUACAGUCGCUCUGCGAGCUGCGGCUUCUGACAGGAGACGGUUUAGGCGUUUACACACUACUUGUCCGACUGCAGGAAGCAUUUCAUAGUGCAAGGUGGCAAGUCCCCGGGCCGACUUGUCGAGCCCGGUGCCAAAUGGCAUGACAAAGAGUAACAUACUUGUAGGCAUAAUUUUUAUCAUACAGACAAAAGAGGGCAGUCCCCGAGCUCGUCUCGGGGGGCCCGAAGUCUUGGUACUUUAAUACAAAAGGUAGCAUGGUACAUACUGCAUCAACUGUAAAAAAUUUGGAGGAGAUUUGCAUUCCAUGGCCGCUCUGUCUCCUUGCCGGAGUCGUCCCUCUUGCGUGCUCGGGGCUUCUGAGCGUCAAUCAGGUAGUAGGAGUCGUUGCCCGGUACUUUGCUGAUGAUGAAAGGGCCUUCCCAAGGCGCCGACAGCUUGUGCUGGCCGGCUGUUCGCUGGAUCAGCCGGAGCACAAGGUCGCCUUCUUGGAAAGAUCUUGGCCUGACCUUCCUGUUGUGGUAUCGGCGCAGGCUCUGUUGGUAGAUGCUGGACCGGCUGAGUGCCAACAGCCGGCCCUCUUCCAGCAGAUCGACGCCGUCUUGUCGUGCUUCUUCUGCUUCCUCCUCGGUGUACAUGGUGACUCGUGGGGAGUCAAACUCUAUGUCCGUUGGGAUGACGGCUUCGGCACCGUAGAUGAGGAAGAAGGGCGUGAAGCCAGUUGACUUGUUUGGAGUCAUGCGCAGACUCCAGAGGACGACUGGCAGCUCGUCGAGCCAGUAGCCAGCCGAGCGCUCCAGAGGUUCGAUCAGCCGAGGCUUGAUGCCGGACAGGAUGAGGCCGUUUGCUCGCUCCACUUGGCCGUUUGACUGCGGAUGGGCGACGGACGCUAGGUCCAGUCGGAUGCCCUGUGUUGCGCAGAAACGGGCCAAGGCGCCUUUGGCAAAAUUUGUGCCGUUGUCGGUGAUGAUGCUGUGUGGUAUGCCGUACCGAAUUGUGAUAUCGGCGAUGAAAGUCACGGCAGUUGGACCGUUCAGCUUCUUGAUUGGCUUUGCUUCUAUCCAGUUGGUGAACUUGUCCACUGCGACAAGUAAGUGAGUUAAACCACCUCGUGCUGUCUUGAAUGGUCCCACCAUGUCUAGACCCCAAACUACGAAAGGCCAGGCAAUGGGGAUGGUCUUGAGUGCAGAAACUGGCUGGUGCGGCUUGGAGCUGAACUUCUGGCAGCCUUUGCAUUUUUGGACCAACUCCUUGGCCUCUUCCAAGGCAGUUGUCCAGAAGAAGCCGUGUCGAAGGGCUUUGGCGACGAGUGCUCUUGAAGCCGCAUGGUGGCCGCACUCGCCUUGAUGGAUGUCUUUGAGAAUCGCUUGGCCUUGCUCUGGCUCUACGCAGCGCUGGUAGACACCAGUGAUGCUGCGCCUGACCAGCUCUCUGUUGACUAUGGUGUAGGCUGCCGCCCGGCUUGUAUUUGCCGAGCUGAGGUUUCAUCAGUCGGCAGCUCUUUGUUCACCAGGAAUUUGAGGAUGGGCUGGGCCCAUGAGGGUGCUGCUAUUUCUUCGACUGCCAGAACUACGACUUGGACGAGGGCGGUUGGGCUGGGAGGCGGCGGGUUGGAUUCAACAGCCGCUUGCUAGGUUGAUGAAGUCCCCAGGCCGACUGGCGCGGUCCUUGGGCCAAGUUCUGGAGUCUUCGAGUCCUCCACCGCAGUCCCCGGGCCGGGUUCGACUGUGGCGGCUUUGGAGUCAUCUGCCAAAAUCCCCGUACCGACUGCUGGAGCUCUGGAGUCGGAUCCGACAUCUUCGGGAGGAGCCGGCACAAAAAUGGAGUCUGAUUCUGAUGAAGGCUUGACAGACGGCUUGAGGAGGCGUUGAAGGGCGAUGCCAGAUGGUAUUGCUUGGCGGGUAGAGCCGAUUCGCGCCAAGGCAUCUGCUUGGUCGUUGUCGUUUCUUGGCACAUGGAGAAACUCGCACCCUUCGAAGUACCCGCUGAGUUGCUGCACGAGGAAACGGUAACUCGCCAUGUUUGCAUCUUUAGCGUCCCAGUCGCUAGAUGAUUGCUGGACCACUAAAUCCGAGUCACCAUAACACAAGAUCCGACGGAUGCCAAGUUCUUUGGCAAGCCGGAGCCCGUGAAUGAGCGCCUCGUACUCGGUGACAUUGUUGGAGGCGGCAAAGUGGAUUUGCAGCGCGUAUUUGAGCUUAUUGCCUUUGGGAGAGGUGAGGACGACACCGGCUCCCAAGCCGGUGCGCAUCUUGGGGCCGUCGAAAUGCAUCCGCCAAUGGGUGGAGUCAGGUGCUGGAGGUAGGUACUGGGUCUCGGCCCAGUCGACGAGGAAGUCGGCCAGUGCUUGUGACUUGAUAGCGGUGCGGGGCUGGUAGUGGAUGGUGUAAGGAGCCAGCUCUAUGGCCCACUUGGCCACUCGACCAGAAGCAUCUCGGCUACCGAUGAUCUCGGCAAGUGGGGCCGUGCAGACCACCGUGAUUGGAUGCUCUUGAAAGUAAGGCUUCAAUUUCUUGGCAGCAAAGUGUACGCCAUAGCACAUCUUCUGGUAGUGGGGGUAGUUCUGCUUGGAGGUCUACAGUACCUCGCUCAGGUAAUAUACCGGUCUCUGGACAGGUAGCGCCUUGCCUAUCUCGUUGCGUUCCACUACAAUGACCGUGCUGACUACUCGGCUGGUGGCGGCGAUGUACAGGAGUAUAGGUUCCUUUGGAGUCGGAGCCGCCAGGACCAGUGGAGUAGUCAGCAUCUUCUUCAACUGGAGAAAAGCUUCGUCCGCCUUAUGGUUCCACUCGAAAAAAGUGGUCUUCUUCAUGAGUUGGUAUAAGGGGAGAGCUUUCUCGCCCAGCUGGCUGAUGAAUCGGCUGAUGGACGCCAAGCAGCCGGUGAACUUCUGCACAUCCAGCAGUCGGCUGGGUACCUCCAUUCUCUCAAUGGCCUUGAUUUUUACUGGGUUGCAUUCUAUGCCGCGUUCAGAGACCAGGAAGCCUAGGAGCUGGCCGGCUGGUACUCCGAAGACACACUUCUCGGCGUUGAGCUUGAUCUGGAAUCGGUGCAGGUUCUCAAAGGUCUCCUUGAGGUCUUCCAGCAGUGUUCCACGCUUUUCCGUCUUCACCACCACGUCGUCUACGUAGACUUGGGCGUUCAUGCCGAGCUUCUUAAGGAGGCACUUCUGCAUGCAACGCUGAAAGGUGGCGCCGGCAUUCCUUAAGCCGAACGUCAUGGUGAGGUAGCAGAAGGCUCCAAACGGCGUGAUGAAGGCGGUCUUCAGUCUGUCAGCCGGGUUCAGCUUGAUCUGGUGAUAUCCUGAGUAUGCAUCCAAAAAACUCAACAGCUCGCAUUCGGCUGUGGAGUCUAUCACCUGAUCGAUUCUUCGUAGAGCAAAUGGGUCCUUGGGGCAGGCCUUGUUGAGGCUUGUGUAGUCAAUACACAUUCGCCACUGCUUGUUCUUCUUCAGUACCAGGACCGGAUUUGCUAGCCAUUCUGGAAAGAACACUUCCAUAAUGAAGCUGGCUGCUAAGAGUCGGGCCAUCUCUUCCCCGACAACUCUUCUCUUCUCUUCUGAUAGGCGGCGCAGGGGCUGCCUGGCCGGCUUUGCAUCAGAUUGGACAUGUAACUUGUGCUCGGCGAAUUCCAUCGGUACACCUGGCAUGUCUUUGGGGGGCCAUGCGAAGAUGUCCCGAUUCUCAUGGAGGAAAUCGACGAGCUCGCCUUCCUAUUUGCCGUCGAGGUUUGCACCUACGACGGCGUACCUCUCUGGGUGCUCCGGAUCCAAGGGUAUCUUCUUUGUCUCUUUGGCCGGCUUGAACGAACCCUCAGCCUCCGACUCUUUUGGGUUGGGCGAUACCUCAGGCUGUUUGCCGGCCAUCGCCACAACUCGCUCGAGGAGCCGCUUCUCGGCCGCGAUUACCAGGGACUCGGCCAGCCGACUGCUCUCAGCCGCGCAAGCAGACGACUUCCGGUAGUCGCCAACCACAGUCAGAAUUCCCCUGGAACUGGGCAUCUUCAUCUUGAGGUAGGCGUAGUGGGGGACCGCCAUGAACUUGGCCAAGGCGGGUCGGCCAAGCAGCGCAUGGUAUGGGCUCUCAAGGUCCACCACCUUAAACCAAACAGACUCUCUACGGAAGUGAUCUUUGUCCCCAAAGAGGACGUCCAUCAGGAUCUUGCCGAUCGGCGAGCAGGAAAGCCCAGGAACUAUGCCAUGGAACGCAGUUCGGCUGUUCUGAAGCUGUCUUUGCUUGAUUUCUAACUUCUCCAUGGUGUCCUUGUACAGGAUAUUGAUGCUGCUGCCACCGUCUAUCAGAACUCGCGAGAAACGCGCGGCUCGUCUUUCUGUAGCAAAGGUGGCAUCCAGGACCAAGGCAUAGGAGCCCGAACUCGGCAUCACUUCUGGGUGGUCAGCCCUGCUCCAGCUGAUGGGCUUCUCAGACCAGUGCAUUAACUCUGGCGUCUCCGACGCUACUGCGUUCACCUCUUGUCGCUGCAGCCGCCUGCUGCGUCGAUCAUCAGCCACACUGGUAAACACCACGUAGGCUUCGUGCUCUUCAGGGUAUUCGUCUUGUACUGCGCCGACUGGCCUGACAGCCGGCUACUGGGGCGGCGGCGGAGGCGGCUGCCCAGCAGGCGGGGGAGGCAGGAGGCCGUCUCCCUUGGCGAUCCUGGUGAGCCAGUGGCACUUCUGGGUGGUGUGAUUCGAUGGCUUUGCGCCACUGUGGAACUUGCAAGGUCCAUCCAAGGUCUGCUCAUAGGAGAAGGCCGGCAACCAGUUUGGCUUGCCGCCUUUCUGUCGCUUGGGCGGGGGCUGCUCAUCUGCCUGUUGGGCUUCAACGGUCGCGACCUGCCGGCUCCGGGGCCUUGCGCUUGUGGUCGCCCUGCUGUUGUCGCCAGCCGGCGUCUGCCGCUGGAGUUCUUGGAGCUUGAGGGACCACUUUGCCAGUUGUGCUAAUUUGAAUCUCCGCCUUCAUGGAGGAGUCGGCCGUGGCGUACUUGUCCGCUAUGAUCAGCAGCUCGUCGAGGGUUUCUGGCUCGUCGCAAAAGAGUUUGUGCUUGAGGAGGGUGCCUUCUCUGCACCCAGCUGUGAAGUACUCGAUGGCCUGCACCUCGUGCACGCCCUUGCAGGAGUUCCGAAGCUCGGCCCAAUGCGUGAGGUAGUCACGAGUCGACUCGUCGGGGCCUUGCACGCACAAGGAGAGCUGACGAGGUUUGGGAGGGCGCUUGUACGUGCUGGUGAAGUUGCAGACGAAUGCUUCGGUGAAGUCGACCCAGCUGUUGAUGCUGCGGGGCUUUAGGCUAUUCAGCCAUGUCCGGGCCGUGCCCUGGAGCAUGAGCGGAACAUACUUUACGGCGACACGCUUGUUGCCGUUUGCUAUGCUGACAGCCGUGGAGUAGUCGACUAGUCAGUCUUCCGGCUUCACGGAGCCGGUAUACUUGGGCGUGUCUCUUGGGAGCGUGAACCCUCUGGGAAAGGGCUCGUCCCGAAUGCGGGGCCCGAAACAAGGUGGACCCAGCUCGUCUUCUUCUUCCAGCGCUAAGGAUCGGUGAAGUCGAUCGAUCCGGUGGCGGGCGUCAUUCUCUCCAACUCCUUCUCGGCGGCCAAGGCGAUCAUCGAGAGUCGGAUGGUCAACAGGCGGUGGGGAGACUAGCCUCUCCUUGCGGGGAGGGGGAGGCGGACAGUCGUCCCGUCGUUCCACUGCUCUUGGGCGGCCGUCUCGGUCACGCUCUAUGGUGAUGCGAGUCCGACUGUGGCUGACAGCCGGCUCCUUGUCUCUUCUUCCUCGGGCGCCGCCAGUCGGCGUCCGAGACGUCGCGCCUUGAUCUCGGUGAAGGUCAUCGUUGGGCCGUUGAGGCGCUUCCGUGCGGCAGCCGGCCUCGUUCUGCGCGGCAGCCGCGUUGAGGAGCCGCUGGACUCGCUCCAUCAUGAGGCGGCGUUCUUCGCCCUCGAAAUUGUCCAGCUCAUUCGCCGCUGCCUGGGGGCUCGGAUGUUCUCCGCUGGUGUAGCGUACACAGGGCGGCCUGCCCCAGACAGGUUGGCGAUGGCUACGCCGCGCUGCUGGACCGCGCCAAGGCGGCUGGGCCCCGCCGGGGCCGGCGAGCCGCCGACGGCGCGAUCCAUCUCCCGCUGGUAGGCUUCUGACAAGCGCCUCAUGCUGGCCAGCUUCUUCGCGCCUUCAACGAGCUGAAGGCGGGGCGCCUCCAACGUCUCUGCGUCAGCGUCUUCCGGAAUGGGUGCAGUUAGGUCUUGCAGCACCACGCCGAGUGAGUCGUGCGCUCCUCCGCCGGGAAGCUCGUCAUGACUGAUGACUAGCACCUCGGUGACAGUGCUUCCGUUGCUCUCCGCGCGAGGGAGAGGUUCGUCGUAGACCACCACAUUGGUGGGGAACGCGUCGAGCGACGCGGUGUCGGAGUCGACCAGCAUCGGGUCGGUGGAGCCUACGGACUCCAAGUCUACGGCGGGCUCGCCGGAAACGUGGAGUUGGUCGAGGAGGCCCGCGAGGAGGUUCUCGGGGCCGCCCGUGCCUGCGUCGGACGCAGGUUCGUCGGAGAGGAGGACCUUGCCGACAAGUUCGGCCAAGGAGCUGGCCGCGCAGGCGAUCUCAACGCCGCUUAGCGCGUCGGUGCAAACUCCGUCUGGCGUGCCUGGCUGGCUGCGCUCGCCAGGGAGGAAAAGGGUUGCCGUCUAGAACAGAUCUCCGGACGGCGGUGCACCACGCCCCACGGUGGGCGCCAAAUGUCGGGGGUUUGGUGCGACAUAUGCCAAAGGAUGACUUAUCAUGGUGGGGCGAGUAGAACGUCGCCGGUGCCUGGAAACGUGAUGAGGCGAAGACAUGCACGCCGGCGAAUCUUACCCAGCUUCGGGGCUCUCCGAGGAGAUAAUACCCCUACUGCUGCUCUGCGGGGUCUCCGCAUGAUCACUAUGGCCAAGUGUUCACACGGUUGCUCCUUGAGCUGUUUCUUGGAGGUAGGAGAGGGCAAGGCUAGCUCUCUCCCUUCUAUAUGAUCUGGUCUAAAGCUAAUGGGUUCCAACCCUUUGCAUGGGUGCCCUGGGGGGUUUAUAUAGGCCUACCCCCCAGGGGUACAAUAGUAAUUCGGCUGGUCGCGGGCCCAGCCGUCAGUGCCUCUGGCCUCCGUCUUCUCUGCCGACCGCUGGGGCCCGCCGGCUGGUCUGGUACGGAGCCGACAGGCCGCGUCCGCCGCGGGCGGGUCUUGCCGGCUGCUGAUUACUGUAGCCGUGCUUCUGAUGACGAGGGCUUGAUCAUGAGGUCGUGGCAACAGCCCCGCCGCCUGGCGGGCGAUCACUGUUGCCACUCCCCAUCACAUCUUGAUUAAUGGCGCGUGGGCCCCGGGGGAGGGCUCGGCCGACCUCCCCGGGCCGACUCCCGACGGGUCCGACUGGUGGUUCUCCUGCCGUCCCCGAGGUCUCACUGACUGGUGGGGCCUGCUACCUCUAGGCCGUAUAGACAAGCCGUCGUGGGUGCAGAAUUCGGCCCUGUGGUGCUGAUGUCAGGGCCGACAUGGCAACAAUGCCAUGCCGCACGGAGAUCUUCCGGGGUACGGCGUGCUGUGGCCAUGCCUGCCCUUGGUAAGGGACGGGGGUAGGCUUCUCUGUAGCCACGCCCAUGCCCCGUCCCCUUUGAUGAAGUCAUGGGGUUUGUUGGAGUCGCAGGCCGACUCCCGAAGCCGGCUUCUCUGGAAGUCGGCUCUCCUUGAAGUCGUCCCUGGGACUCGGCCGUGAGUGGUCAGUCGGCCAUCUUGCCGUUGACUUCUUGAAGGCGGUUCCUCGUCCUGGGGUCUUGAGGGGCGCAGCCUCCCCCGAUGUCUUGAAAGGUUCUGAGGCUUGGGUUGGCCUACCCGUGGCCCAGUACUCCGACACUGCAACUGCAACUUAAGGCCAUUUAUUUUGAGGAUUAUGGGUGGCUGUCAAAAUAAGCUACCCCUACCCGUUUUAUUCUAGCAGACCAACGUAAACUUCCAUUCUAAAGCCUACUUCUAUGCGUCUAGGGCCCUGUUUGGAAUCUCUCUGCUCCACUCUCCGGAGCUGCGGAGCUCGGUUUGAGCAGCUCCAUAAAAAACUGCAGUAGCCUGCUCCGCCCCGGGAGGUGAGUCACGGGAGCGGAUAGAAACCGAACAGGCUCUUGAUACACUAAUUUCAGACGGUUAAUUCCAGAUGGAGGUUGUACUAGCUAAUCCUUCAUUAUUAUUUUUAGAAUAAAAUUUUAGGUUGGGCUGUCAAAAUAAGCUAAAGCUGGGUAGGGCGAGAGCCACUCAUAAGCGUCCCUGCACCACGCCACCAACAAAAAUUGGCAUUGGCUUUUAUCCUAGUCGAAUAUCAGCUUGAAGUUCUAUAGAAAUCUAAAUAAACAGGUAUGCGUAUCUGGGUUGUUUGAUAAAAAGAAGCAUAUAGUAUUCUGAUGCUUAUAGAACGAUGAUGUGAAGAUUUUGCAGUAUCAAAACUUAAUAGUCUGAUAACCUGGGCCAAAGAUUCAGCAGUAAACGAUACACAAGUAUACAGUAAUGAUGCAGGGAAAAUAAAUAUACAUUACAUCCCAGUAUACAGCAACGGUACCACAGCAGCGAACAACAUCGUACAUUGGGUUGUUUGAUGAUAAAGGAGCUCCGAGUAUUUUGGUGCUUAUAAAAGGGCCUGUCAGCACUGGCUAAGUUUGUCCUCUGUUGCGUUGCGUGAAGAAUGACGAUGCCAAGAUUGAAGUCUGGUGUCAAAAAUUCUGGAGCCAAGAAGGUUCUAGAUAUCUCAGUUGGCUUCCGUGACCUCAACAACAUUUUAUUUCAUUGCUUCUCCUCGACUUGGACACUGCUGCCUGCUAAUUAGAAUUGAUGAAUAUAAAUGACCAUAGACCAAUAUAACACAUAGUAGAAAUUUUGUGUCGACACGACUGAUCAUGCAGGAUUUUGUUAAUGAAUAAACCAGUGAGCAAAGUUGCGCCAGACCAAUUCAUGCAAGAUGUGUACAAAUACUUGCAAAUAUUACCCUACGUCCCUAAGAAAGUACACACAAUAGUUAGGACAGAAUCUUAAUUCUCAAACAUGGAUUCAUAAACAAACCAGAGUUAUGCACCUGAGGCCUUAUUCGGUUUGGUGAGGAUCGAGGGGUAUUAAAUCCAUGAUAAGUCAAAAUCCUCCUCAUUCCCCUCCAAUCCUCUUCGGAAACUAACUAACGUUCCUAUUUCUCUCUAUACCGACUAUGCUAAACAAUAACAUCAAGAGAAAUCUUUACAGACUUACAGUAUACUGUUAGUGUUAGAUAUGAGCACAAUUCAGAGAAGCCUAGGUUUUCUUGAAAUAUUUCUCUUUCAUUUCACUUAUGCCUUUCUGCAAAAGAACACGACAAUUCACUGAAAUUACCAUGCAAAAAUCCGCUCUAUGGCAAGAUGUGUAUCUAUUCAUAGCUUGUCAAUUUAAACUGGUUACUUAAACCUAUGGAAAUGUCACUGAAACUGACAAAUGCUAAAUGCAAGACGUGUGUUAAUAAUACAAGGAAUCAGUGCCAUAAUGUGCAAGGAAAGAACAGAACCGAAUUGUAUGUAAGCUACUAUGAUUUUUUCAAGCAAUUACCGAUUCGAACUCGCGACUUUCUCUCGCCAGUGGAGGGCUUCUUCUUCAUGUAGCAGCCAUUCCAAUCACCCCCGUCCUGCGAGUAGUAAUCCAUCGGGUAUUCCCCUCCAAAAUCAUCUCCACCACAAUCACCACUACUACAAUCACCAUUUCCACAAGUUCCUGAUCCUGAACAGCACCCACUGCCACCUCCACCACCGCCAUUUUGCCUACUCCCCUUCUCCCACCACCCAGGAACAUACCCCAGUGCAACAUCAAACUCAAAUGUUGUCAGCACCGGCCUCUUGAACCCCUCCCCCCAAUCGAUCGACAACCGAGGGCACGCAAUCUGCACCCAUGCAUCCACAGAAUCCCCGAAUAGCUCCAUCCUCGUCGGGGAGAGCUCCGACAUGAGCACCACCGUGUGUUCCAAACCUUUCUCCUCCAGAUGCUCCACCACCCGGUCAAGAACCUUCAAGCUCCCCUGGCGGCCCAGCGUGCCGAGCACAACCCCCCAGCUCUUGGCCUUCCUCGCCGCCAGCACCGCCUCCUUCCUCGCCUGCUUCAUCCCAACAUGGUCAUACUCCUCCAGCACAAGCACACCAAGAAAGGGAUCGAACCGGUAGGCCUUCACCGCAGGGUUGGCAAUCAUGAAGGCCUCGAGGUGGAACCUGCCAUCGGCGACGAACACCACCACGCCCACCCCCUCCGCCUUCUUCAGCGUAGGCGCCGUACACCCGAGGAUCUCGCCGGCAGAGAGCGGCUUGGCCUGCGGCACAACGAUGUCGCGGUAGCCGUCCCGCGUGAGCAUCUCGCGCGCCGCGUGCACCGCGGCGAUGAACUGCACGGUGCCGGCGAGAGCGAGGCGGGGCGCGGCGUCAGGGUCCGGGAAGGCGCCCCGGACGGCGGCGGCGAGGCGGAGCGCGUCGACGCGGAUCUCGACGAAGACGUAGAGCACGGGGAGGAGUGAGGAUGUGACGGGGACGAGGCAGGAGUGGCCGUAGUGGACGAGGAGGUCGGCGGCGAGGGCCUUGGCGGGGCGGUCGCCGAGGCAGCAGGCGCCGUAGGUGGGGUCGGCGAGGAUGAGGACGUCGUUGGAGGGGUCCUCGGCGAGGAAGGGGCCGAGGAGGUGGGAGAGGGGCAGCGAGAAGAGGAGCAGGCCCUCCGGGAGCUGCAGCGCGGCGCGGCGCGCGCCCGAGGAGCGGAUGCGGUGCGCCGUCUUGUGGAGCUCGAAGUUGUAGGCGGCCGGGAGGAGCGAGGUGGCGGCGGCGGCGAGGGUGGGGUCGUUGAGGAUGGAGACCGGGAUCGGGGUGUGGAUGAAGCGCUUGGGGGCCGGCUUCUUCUUGGCGCUGCUCUGGAGCGCGUCCACCGCGGUGACGGCGAGCGAGGUGGAGGGGUCGCCGGCGUCCAUGGUGGCGGCGGCGGGUGGGGAGAGACGGGAAGAGGGGUUUGCUUAGCAAUACGAGACGACACGGAACCUCCUCCCCAAGAGGAGCAGCAGCAAGAGAAGGCCCAUCCACACUGCGAAAAAUGCAUAGCCCUGCUGUAUAAUGGGCCAAAAUAAUUUUCUUUUGGCCCACUUUAACUCGUCGUCUUCUUCCUUUCUUCCCAUUGUCAUUCUUCGGGGAAAUUCUAAUUUUGUUUUUCAAGAAACUUUAAACACAUUCAUAAUCAAUCAUGAACGCCAACUAUAAUAAUUUUACAAUAAGGUCCAUGGACCACGUAGCAAUGAAUAAAAGUGCUGAAGCGAGUCGAAGAUGUGCCACCAUCAUCGCUUUUCCCUCACUGGAGCUUAGCAAACUUUGUUGUAGUAGACAGUUCAAAGUCAUCGUGCUAAGGCCUCAAGGACCAGCGAACUAGCACCGUUGAAGUGACUCGCAAAUUGAAAAGAUCAAAUAUGUAAACACAUAAAACGAAGACUGUAUCCAAAAGAGAUCCACCGAAGAUCAACACCGACCGAAUCCUGGGAAAUCGGACGAAGACACACCUUCACACACCCUCCAAUAACAUUGGACACACCACCAGAACAGGGAUUAAACGUGGGAGACAUCAUUCCUACUAAAGGGUAUCGCCGCCGUCACACAACCUCCACCAAGACGUUGAACUUAACAAGAAUUCAUCGGCAAAAUCCUAUCCGAUGCUAAUAGCUUCGAAUAGUCACUUCUGGUCAUCAACAACUAUCAGCUUUUGCCAAUCCUAGCUGUUGCCGCCAUAGCUUCUCUACACAUUGCGGCCUCAACCCCCCUUCUCUUCCUUGUCUGGUGCCCUCAUUGGCGGCAAGAGGAGUGGUGCUCACAUGUCUCAUUUUCUUGUCCUUAGGUUUUUGUUCCCCUAGGAACAUCGACGAGUUGUUGGUGGCAUAACAUGUUGGAAUAAGGUUUCUUCGAUCUCUCCCUAACUCGACGGCAUCUGAUCCGGCAUCGACGGAGGGUCUGUGAGAGUUUGUGUCCUCGGAUCUGUUGGUUCCCAUCAGAUAUUAGCAGUUGUAUGUGUUUUUCAAGGAGAGUUAUGGCUGGCUAUUGGUGCAGCGGUUUUGACAUCUUCCUCCAUGUUGUUCUAUGACAUGGUCCGGAUUCUUCAUUCUUCAACCCUGUGAACUACGUGGGGUGAUGCUCCAACCAACGUUGCUUCAGUGAUUUAUAAAUCUCGCCUCAAGGGUCGAGUGGCUAUUGCGGUCUUCAAAGCCUGGUACAGUGAUAGCAUUUGUAGGUAAACAUGUCCUUUACUAUUAGUUUAUUGUAAUUUUUAGUCUGCAUCGGACACCGUACAAUCGAGGAAGAAGAAGGUUAUUAUGAUUUUCGAUGUAAUUUAUUUUUUACUGCUCGUUCUACAUUGUGUUGUCUUUACAUUGUACUAGUUUUUGUUUUCCUUGAUAUUAAUCUGAUUUAAGAUGCCUUUGGAUGCCUUUACUAAGAAAGAAAAAAGUCAUUGAACACAGAUGAUCUGUACAUUCUGGUCUCGCCAAUUUCAACUGUUUUUUUUGUGGUCUUUGUUUUUCACUCGCUUAUUUUUUGGUUUUUCUCAGUCUAUUCUCUAUUGAUUCUUGUCAGCUUUUUUGGUUUAUUGAUUGAAUUUUUAUGUUUUCUCUUUUUUAAAAUUUAUUUAAUUUAUUUUUAUUUUUGCCUGUUUUUACUAAUGAGCCAAAAUCUUAUAUAUAAACAUUUUCAAAUACAUUGUAAACAUUUUGUGUAAAAUGGCAAUAGUUUUUAAUACAUGUUGAAUAUUUUAAAAACAUGAUGAACAAUUUUUAGAUACACGAAGAAUCCUUUUCAAUACAUGAUGAACUUUUUUAUACACACUGAUAUUUUUGCACAUACCGUCAACAUUUUAUAUAUGCGUGAUGAUUUUUGAAAGAAAAUUCAUAAUUUUAUAAAAUGUCCACACACUUUAAAACCAUACAACUAGAUUUUUUUGUUGACAUUUUUAUAAAAAGUGUUUUUGUUUAAAACAAUAAAUACCGUACAGCGCGAGCCCAAACUGGAUGUGCCUGGUGCGCCACCCCCCCUCUCAUUGGUUAAAAAUGGAGAACUAUGCACGGGUUGGUGCCGUGGGAGAUCACCGAACAGAUGAUCCGCAAUACUUAUGUAACACUUUGGCAACAUUAAAUCUCAAGGGAAAAUAAACGAGAGUCUCAAUUGUUUGCCGCCAACACAGAAAUAGGGCUCUCCAAAGUCCAAACCUCUCUUAUAAUCCGUACAGAACCAUACAAAUCUCACUUAUAAUUGCUUGUCAAGAAGUUGCUCGGCAAACGGGAAGGAAGAUGCUUGUCAAGAAGUUGCUCCAACGACUGAAUAAGCAGACCAUCGUUUUGUCCUUAAUUAAAAUUUAAUAUCUGAAUCUUAAUUAAUUUGGAAGCAUUUGGCACCUCCGCAGAAUUCAAACCCUGCAAGCCAACAAAAAUCAGGUUCCGAAAGCAAUUCAGAAACAGCUGCGUCAAGCGAGCCAAAGUUAAGCUUCAUUAUAGGGGCAGCCGCUCUGCUCUCCCCUGCUUGACUGUAGAAUGUGUUGAGUUGCUGCUUGUACCAAGUACCAAGUGAUUGAUAUCCUAGGGGAACACAUCAUCUCAUCCAUAUGAUUUGUUGAUUGAAUUUGAACCAUUGUAGAUGUAGAUGGCUGGGUGGAAAUCUCAGGAAUAUUUCUCAUCGAAAACAGUAGUAUCAACUAUGAAGGUUUACUUGCACAAGAAUGACUGGAAACUAUGACAAUGUUCACUGACUUCAAGGGAUGUUCCAUAUGAUAUAUGAAAGAGAUCAUAGAUAGUGCAAGCAAUCGUGCUAAUUCAUGUAAAGUUCCCAUGGAUUGGGAGAUACUGCUGCGGAACUUCAGCAAGUCAGAUGGCCAUGAAGGCAGUGGGCCAAAAAGUCCUCAGCUACAACUAGAAAAGGAGAAGAGAAAAAAUAAAAUCAUUGCUUCUGUCAAUCUCCAUCUAGCAAAGGUGAAGGGCGCGGUCUUGUAGUUUGAUUAGCGAGUAAGAGCACACCGGAUCCGUCUCUUUUUCUUCCUUUUUCCUAUCAUUUCAACCAUUGGUUAGCUUUUUUUUAGCAGUAACUGUCAACGUCUCCCUGCGGCCCUGUGGGCUAAAUUUGCUACAUUCUCGUCUAUCUGACUCGGGACGACGACGACACCAUGUGUUGUAAGCUGAAUAAUUAUCUGUGAUGGGAAUGAAUAAGCAGGGUAUUGUUUUGUUCCGAAUACAAAGUUCCGUUCCCAAUUUGGCACCUCCUCAGAAAUUCAAACUCGGAGCCCCGAGCUAAAAAACUGUGUCUGCGUCUUGAACGGGACCCAGAACAAGCAAAUCCUAUGUCGUUGUGUACUUGUGUUAUGUGCCAGUUCGAGCGUAGCACAGCAUACGUAGGACUGGAAUCGGGAUUAGCAGUCGGAAUUGAAAAUUGCUAGGCAAAGUGGGAUUAGGUGCUUUUCUUUUUGAGAUGGAACCAUAUUUAUUCCAUUAACCAAAUAGCUCAGCAAGAUCGCUGGCAAUCAAGUUGUGCACGAAAUCAGGAGCUCCAUCCGGCUGGGGAAGGGAGUCCCGAGCCUGCAACGAACAUCGCAAGAGCGUCUGCAACUUUAUUACAAGCCCGCGGGCAAAACGAAGUGCGAAAGAAAUUGAAAUUCAAACGUGCAAAACACUUAAUCUCUCUGAAGAGAAUUCCAUUCACUCCCAUAUCAUGAUCAGUGGUGGUCAGAGCUUGCACCAGCGUUGACGCAUCAGUUUGCACAUGGACCUCUGAUAAUCCCCACGACUGGGCAGCCUGUAGGCUUUGAAAGCAUGCUGCAUGAAUCCCGCUCCCGCACCUAUUGCUUGACCUUGUGCAUCUGUGAUAGUGAAAGCCCCAGCCACCAGUUCCCUGUUCUUCAGACAUACUUCCAUCAAAUAUUAAUUUUAAGGGCGUUCUCACCUACUCCCUCCGUCCGCGAAUAAGUGUACUUCUAGCUUUUGUCCUAAGUCAAAGUUUUAAAACUUUGACCAACUAUAUACAAAAACGUAGUAACAUAUAUGAUAUCAAAUUGAUAUAUUAUGUGUCAUAAACAAAUCUAGUGAUACUAAUUUAGUGUCAUAAAUGCUGCUACUUUUUUCCAUAAAGUUGGUCAAAGUUUUAAAACUUUGACUUAAGACAAAAGCUAGAAGUACACUUAUUCGCGGACGGAGGGAGUAGCAGUUUCCACCUAGUUUCUGACACGCUCUGGACCUCCUUCUUAUCCCCAAAUAGCUUGUAAUCUUGCACCCAGACUCGUACUCUCUUCAUGACAGACAAUGGCGGAGCUAUAUGUAUAGCUGAGGGGGCUGUCGAAAAGUGCCUGCAGCUCCCGAGCUUCAUUGCUCUUUGAUAUUUGAAUUUUUUGAAAAACACACUUUCGAUGCUCAAAAAAAUCUUAAAACAAAUAUGUGAUUACGUACACAUAUUCCUAAAGACUGGUAGAAAUCUAGAGAUGAAAUACUUUGUAUUUUGGGAAAUACAAAAAAGAGAAAUUUCCGACCGAAAUGGCACCUUUUUUCUCCUAUAUACUGUCAGAAAUUUGUUUUUUUCUAUAGUCCAAGAAAAGAGAUUUGUACCGAAACUUGCAACGGGUAUUCGGAAUGUGUAUAUGCAUCCCGGGAAAUAAUUUCACAUUUUUUUGAAACUUCAAAAAUACGAAUUUGAAAAAGUCAAAUAUAGAGAGCACCGGUGCUCGGGUGCUGCAACGCCGCUCUCANNNNNNNNNNNNNNNNNNNNNNNNNNNNNNNNNNNNNNNNNNNNNNNNNNNNNNNNNNNNNNNNNNNNNNNNNNNNNNNNNNNNNNNNNNNNNNNNNNNNNNNNNNNNNNNNNNNNNNNNNNNNNNNNNNNNNNNNNNNNNNNNNNNNNNNNNNNNNNNNNNNNNNNNNNNNNNNNNNNNNNNNNNNNNNNNNNNNNNNNNNNNNNNNNNNNNNNNNNNNNNNNNNNNNNNNNNNNNNNNNNNNNNNNNNNNNNNNNNNNNNNNNNNNNNNNNNNNNNNNNNNNNNNNNNNNNNNNNNNNNNNNNNNNNNNNNNNNNNNNNNNNNNNNNNNNNNNNNNNNNNNNNNNNNNNNNNNNNNNNNNNNNNNNNNNNNNNNNNNNNNNNNNNNNNNNNNNNNNNNNNNNNNNNNNNNNNNNNNNNNNNNNNNNNNNNNNNNNNNNNNNNNNNNNNNNNNNNNNNNNNNNNNNNNNNNNNNNNNNNNNNNNNNNNNNNNNNNNNNNNNNNNNNNNNNNNNNNNNNNNNNNNNNNNNNNNNNUGCUUUUUGCCCCCCUGACAUUGCAGUCAAGCUCCGCCACUGAUUGACAGAACUGGUAUUCUCAUUGGCUCUCUUGUGUUCUUUUUAUUUCUUACAUCCCACCACACCCACAACAUAGUAAUACAUUCAAGUUUGUUCUCUUCUAGUAGAGCUAAUAUUUUACUGACCAAAUCCUUUGGCCCUUGAUUGUGCAGUAGCCCUACUCUAGUCUGCUCCAGUUCUAGUUCUCUCCACAGCGGCUUGACAAACUUACAUUUCAAGAAAAUGUGUGCCCCAUCCUCGUCCUGCCUCGAACAUACUGGGCAAAGUCGAUGAUCAAUACUAAGCUUAUGCGGGAGACUGUUGUGAGCAAGCCGCCAUAGGAAGUGCUUCAGUUUCGGAGGACAUUUGCUUGCCCAUAUAUCACGGAGCAUGUGGUAUGCAGUUUUAACUGAAAACUUUCCAUGCGAAUCAAAAUGCCAUGCCUAGAAAUCUUCAAAAUCUUCAUAGAGUGCCGGUAAGGCAAGAAUUGCUCUAGCAUCCUGGGGCAGAAGAUUCCAUUUACUAGAUUUUCAUGCCAACCACCUGUCACUGGAUUGAUCAGUUCCGAAACCUUCUGGAGCACAACAUGUCCCCUUUGUGUAACCACCUUUCUGCAGUCAUCCCGGGGUAGCCAAGGGUCAUCCCAAAUAUCUGUGCUUUCGCCAUCACCGAUACGACAUCUAUGUUUCUAAGAUUCUUGUGGUCACUAAAAUUUUCGGUGUUCUUCUCGACAAAGGGUGGAUUUUAUUGCCUCUUGAAAGGACAUGCGGUGCCCCCAUGUGUGGUUUUGGUAAUUGAUGACAUACUCUAUGGACUAAUGAUUGCAUUGAGUUAUAUUUGAAGGAUUUUUCCAUAGGCAUUUCUUGAAGUCCAUGUGUUGGUUUCAAGGAGUUUAUGGGUUGAUCAAGGUGCUAUUAAGGAAUUAUCCAAAGAUUGGUCAUGUGAGUGUUGAGCUUAUUGCAAGCAUGUCUUGAAGAAGAAGAUUGUGUGAUCAUUCAUGUUUACCUUCAAGACAUCAUCCAAACGAAGAGAGUUGGAAAGACUCAAGGUUGAUCAAGACUAAGUCAAGAGUGAAUCAAGUUGAUCAACUCACAAAGAGUAGAAGAUGUACCGAGAGGGAUCAAGUGAUCCCAUGGUAUGGUAAGCAUUGUCCAUUGCACUUUGUGUACUAACCCAUGGUCUAUGUGAGAGUCUAUGUAGGGUUAGGUACGUGUCCAUGGGCUUGCGUCAAGAGGAUGAUAUCAUACAACCCAUGGGCACUAGUAGAAAAAGGGUCAAACGUGAAGCACAUUAGUGCCGGUUUGAAUUUGAGCCGGCACUAAUGUGUACAUUAGUGUCGGUUCCAACGGCUAGCCGGGCCGCUCUCAUUAGUAUCGGUUCGUGGCGAACCUUUAGCACCGGUCCGUGCCACGAACCGGUACUAAAGUGAGUGGUGGCAGGAUGUUGUCAGUCCGGGGCCCCUUCAGCACCUUUAGUACCGGGUCGUAUCACGAACCGGUACUAAAGGUCGUCCUACAUAGACCCUUCGUCCACCCGAGCUCGCUCUGUUCUUCCCCUUUCCCCUCUCCUCUCUGUUCUUUUCCCUCUUCCUCUCAAGCUCAUCACACAUUUUGCUCAAGAUUUGAAGGCCCCCGUCCAUUCAAAUGAUCACAAAGGUUAGCAACUCUUUCCUUUCAUCUCUCAUUGCUAGAUUAGCUCGUGCAAUGCUUUAUAUAGUAAUUGAUUUUUGAGUUUAGUAAUUUGGGAGGAAUUAUAUAUAUGUGCUAUAUUUGAUUUAUAUGCAAUUUGAGGUCAAAAAUAACACUUAGUUUUGCAUAUGUAGGUGUGGUUUACUUAGUACCUUCUAAAUCUCCGUCUUAACCACCGUCGAUCGCUCGCAACGUCCCAUCGUCGGCACCACCUUGUGGUGAGCCUCUUGUUCAUGAAGUUUUAUAUAAAAAAAAUGAUGUUUGUGUGAUUUGGAUAUAUAGUUACUCGUAUAAUUAUCUUACCCAUACGUUGUUUGUUAUGCAUAGUGCUUUGGUUUUGAUAUAUGUCCCCGUCGGCCCUCGUCCGGGUUAUGAUUCGGAUGUGGUAUAUUCUCUUUUAAAACUAUUCAUUGCAUUUCGUACUUAUGACAAAUUAUGCCCAUCAAGUUGACAUAGAUAUUUGUAUGUAAGAGGUAGUUGAACCCGAAAUUCCAACCGACCCUAUUGUCGAGAGGUUAAAUUUAGUUGAAAGAGAAAACGAGGAUUUGAAGGAAAAAUUGAAAAGAAUUGAGGGGGAGAAGAUGGAAUUGGAGUUGCAUGUUGCCGAUGUCGUAGAUGAUCACAAGAUUAAGAUGGAGAAAAUGCGCUUGAAGAUUUGAAAGAUUAGAAAAUAUGCCAUUCAUAGUGAGGCUUGGUAUCAUUAUGUUGUUGGAUCAAUUGUUACCUUAGUUGCGAUCUUGAUCGCAUUUGUUGUUGCAUUUAAAUUCUUUAGCUAGAGAGUUAUUUGUUUGUUGCAUUGAAGUGUUGUAUGCUCUUUAUGUAUGAACUUUAUGUAUUGUAUUAAUUUGAUGUUUUCGGUGCUGUGUAUUGAAGAUGAGCCGGCAAUGUAUGUACGAUGACCGAUGCUCUCCCGAGUUCAUUAAUGGCGUGCGUACUUUUCUGCUUGCGGCUGAGGCAAACAAGCGAGCGGAUGGUUUUAUGCAUUGUCCAUGUGCUGGCUGGAAGGAUGACAUCAAGUGGUGAUCGUCAUCAAGAUUGUCGUGUGCAAGUUCAAGUGGAGAAUCACGAAGAGAUCAAGUGCUUGAAGCUUGCCAUCCAUUGUGGUGUCAAUGGACUUGUGAACAUGUGCCGAAGAGUGGCUCAUCCAUAAUGGAGUAUGGGGGAGCAAUCAUCUAGUCUCCAUCGACCCAACGCAAUCAAGAAAGGUGGUCCAUCUUGAGGAGGACAAGAUCGUCAUCAUUUAGCUCAAGUGGAUCAUGUGCAAGGCAAAGGUUGUAACACCCCGGUGUAAUGAUGCUACAGUAACCCCUGGGGUUAAGUUAAUCUUUUUGCUAAACAUGUGCCUGAUCAUUAUUGUCUCAUGUUCUUUCACAUUCCAGUUGAAUUCAAAUUCAAAUUUUGUCUGAAAUUCAAAAUGCUCAGACAUGAAAACAAAAAUGUUCAUCAUGUGCAGAAUAUUCCACAACUAAUAUUGGUGGUGAACCAACAUUUUUGCAAAAAGGUUUGAGUGGCCUAAGCUACUUCAAACAGUGGCCUAAGAAAUAAAUUAAAUGCCUUUUUAAUUUAUGAAAAUGGCAAACUAUUUCUAAAGCCUCACAAUCUUUUUUGGCAGUGCCUAAUAAUUCUUUGAGAUUAUUUUGUCCAAUGGCAUAAUUUUUGCAAAGUCUUUAUUGGCUAAAAGAAAAAGAAAAGAAAAUGCAAAAGCUGUUUACAAAAAAAAAA